UGGGUAACCUGCCUCAAAGAGGGGAAUAGCCUCCCGAAAGGGAGAUUAAUACCGCAUAAUAUGUUUUAAUCGCAUGAUUUUAACAUCAAAGGAUUUUCUUUUAGAAAUUCCACUUUGAGAUGGACCCGCGGCGCAUUAGCUAGUUGGUGAGGUAACGGCUCACCAAGGCGACGACGGGUAGCCGGCCUGAGAGGGCAUCGGCCACACUGGGACUGAGACACGGCCCAGACCUCCUACGGGAGNAG
rnacentral:rRNA from 1 species